rnacentral:rRNA from 1 species
UACGUAGAGUGCAAGCGUUAGUCGGAAUUACUGGGCGUAAAGCGUGCGCAGGCGGCUUUGCAAGACAGAUGUGAAAUCCCCGGGCUUAACCUGGGAACUGCAUUUGUGACUGCAUGGCUGGAGUGCGGCAGAGGGGGAUGGAAUUCCGCGUGUAGCAGUGAAAUGCGUAGAUAUGCGGAGGAACACCGAUGGCGAAGGCAAUCCCCUGGGCCUGCACUGACGCUCAUGCACGAAAGCGUGGGGAGCAAACAGG